UACAGAGGGUGCAAGCGUUAAUCGGAAUUACUGGGCGUAAAGCGCACGUAGGCGGCUGGGUAAGUUGGAUGUGAAAUCCCCGGGCUUAACUUGGGAAUUGCAUUCAAGACUGCCUUGCUAGAGUGUGGAAGAGGGAAGCGGAAUUCCAGGUGUAGCGGUGAAAUGCGUAGAUAUCUGGAGGAACAUCAGUGGCGAAGGCGGCUUCCUGGUCCAACACUGACACUGAGGUGCGAAAGCGUGGGGAGCAAACAGG
rnacentral:rRNA from 1 species